GCCUCUGGCCCUGUCGAGAUAGCGUCCUUGCCUAUUUUUUGGAGCACCCUCCGUUUCCUCAGCAGGUCCGCCUGCUACCGGGGACACACGAAACUCUUUGCAAUCAGCAACCGUCUGAAGCAACUACAAAAAAUCAAAACUUUCAACAAUGGAUCUCUUGGUUCUGGCAUCGAUGAAGAACGCAGCAAAAUGCGAUAAGUAGUGUGAAUUGCAGAAUUCAGUGAAUCAUCGAAUCUUUGAACGCACAUUGCGCCCUUUGGUAUUCCUUAGGGCAUGCCUGUUCGAGCGUCAUUACAACCAUCAAGCGCGGCUUGUUGUUGGGCGCCUGUCCCGCCUCCGGCGCGGACUCGCCUCGAAUCGAUUGGCGGCCCCUCCCGGCGGCUCGGAGCGCAGCAGAAUUGCGACUCCACCCGCGGGGACGGCGGCACCCAGAAGCCUUUCCUUCAUAAUCGACCUCGGAUCAGGUAGGGAUACCCGCUGAACUUAAGCAUAUCAAUAAGCGGAGGAAAAGAAACCAACAGGGAUUGCCCUAGUAACGGCGAGUGAAGCGGCAACAGCUCAAAUUUGAAAUCUGGCCUCUUCGGGGUCCGAGUUGUAAUUUGCAGAGAGAGCUUUGGCGUCGGCUGUGGUCUAAGUUCCUUGGAACAGGACGUCGCAGAGGGUGAGAAUCCCGUAUGUGGCCGCCAGCCUUCGCCGUGUAAAGCCUUCUCGACGAGUCGAGUUGUUUGGGAAUGCAGCUCUAAAUGGGAGGUAAAUUUCUUCUAAAGCUAAAUAUUGGCCAGAGACCGAUAGCGCACAAGUAGAGUGAUCGAAAGAUGAAAAGCACUUUGGAAAGAGAGUCAAAAAGCACGUGAAAUUGUUGAAAGGGAAGCGCUUGCAGCCAGACUUGCUUGCGGUUGUUCAGCCGGGCUCCUGCCCGGUGUACUCUUCCGCACGCAGGCCAGCAUCAGUCCGGGCGGUCGGAUAAAGGCCCAUUAAACGUACCUCCCCUCGGGGAGGACUUAUAGGGUGGGUGCCAUGCGACCAGCCUGGAUUGAGGUCCGC
rnacentral:rRNA from 1 species